GAUGAACGCUGACAGAAUGCUUAACACAUGCAAGUCAACUUGAAUUUGGGUUUUUAACUUAGGUUUGGGUGGCGGACGGGUGAGUAACGCGUAAAGAACUUGCCUCACAGCUAGGGACAACAUUUGGAAACGAAUGCUAAUACCUAAUAUUAUGAUAAUAGGGCAUCCUAUAAUUAUGAAAGCUAUAAGCGCUGUGAGAGAGCUUUGCGUCCCAUUAGCUAGUUGGGGAGGUAACGGCUCACCAAGGCGAUGAUGGGUAGCCGGCCUGAGAGGGUGAUCGGCCACAAGGGGACUGAGACACGGCCCUUACUCCUACGGGAGGCAACAGUGGGGAAUAUUGGACAAUGGACCGAGAGUCUGAUCCAGCAAUUCUGUGUGCACGAUGAAGUUUUUCGGAAUGUAAAAUGUUUUCAGUUGGGAAGAAACAAAUGACGGUACCAACAGAAGAAGUGACGGCUAAAUACGUG
rnacentral:rRNA from 1 species